AGGGUAAAUUUGGAAAUGUCUAAAAGUGAAAAAGUUUAGUAAUUAGCCGUGAUUAACGAGCAGUAGUGACCACGUGUUAAGGAAAGGUGGUUUCGGAUGAAAUUUCGGCAUAUGAAUUUCAAGGAUAAGGUCUCCCUAAUAUGCACCAUUUCAAAUUACGUGACUUACUUGUUGUAAAAAAAAAAAGAUUACUUGACUUACUUGAUUUUUUUGCUUGACUUAUUUAUUUUAUGUAUAUGCAUAUAUUAGAUAUUUUUAUGCUUAGUCAACGUUUCUUCUCUAUACAAGUCAUCAUCCCCUUCCUCUCUUUCAGAAAUCAUCAACCCAUGUCUUCCUCAACUGCUUCAUCGUCGAACACCCAAAAUCCCGAAAGGAUGGAAGACCAAGUUUUCCUAAGCUUCACACCGGAAGACGUUGAGGUGGAGGAAUUCAUUCUCACUCUCCAUAUGGACCUAACAAUGUCCGGAAUCCGAACCUGCUACGACAAGAUCAACGCGCUUCGGGGAGUGAACCAAAACUCGCUGCGGCGUUCAAACUGGCCAGCAAUCGAUGGGUCAAGGCUUUCCGUCGUCGUUUUCUCCGAACACUACGGCGGUUCUAGCGAGUGUCUGGAGGAGCUGGAGAAGAUCAUGGAGUGUCACAGAGCCACGGGUCACGUGGUUUUACUCGUGCUCCAUGGCGUGGAUUUGUGGGAUGUGCGCAAGCAAAAGGGUAGAUUCGGACAAGAGUUUGAACGAAUGGUCAAGGAUGUGACGGUGGAGGAACACACCGUGUUGAAUUGGAGGAGGGCCCUGUCUGAAGCUGCUUUCUUAUGCGCUGGCUUUACGUCCCGUUACCACUUUUAUCGUGAUAUGUCAAUUACGGACUUCAUUCGUAUGGUGCUAGAUGGUAAAUAUAUGUCCCGCCCUCUCCAUCCUGUUGGGUUAGAUGUUCAUGCUAAAGAUCUUUAUGGCAAAAUUGGUUACUAUCUUAAAAAAGUUAACUUUGUAGGAAUAUGGGGAAAGGGAGGGAUUGGUAAAACAUCCAUUGCCAAAGUUAUUUACAACCGCAUGUUCGAAAGUUUUGAGGGUUCAAGUUUUGUUGCUAAUAUUAAGGAUGUAUGGAAGCAGGAUAAGGGUGAAGAUUAUCUACGAACACAACUUCUUUCUGACAUCAACAGUACAACAGACAUGGCAGUACAUAGCACUGAAGUGGAGAAAAUAUUAGCUCAUAAAAGGGUACUUGUAGUACUUGAUGAUGUGAGUAACACAGACCAGCUGAUAUCAUUAUGUGGAAGUCGUAAAAGGUUUGGUGUUGGGAGUAUAAUAAUGAUUACAACCAGAGAAAAGCAAGUUCUUGAUCUCUUUGAAUUGGACGUUGUAUAUGAAAUGAAGGAAAUGGACCCAAGUAAAUCACUUGAGCUUUUUAGUUGGCAUGCAUUUAAGCAUUAUAUUCCUACCGAUGAUUGGAUUCAACUCUCAAGAAAAGCAAUUUCUUUCUGUGGAGGACUGCCACUGGCUCUUGAAGUAUUGGGUUCGUUGUUACUUGACAGAACAGCAUCACAGUGGAAAAGUAUACUGAAGCUACUCAAAAGAAAUCAAAGUAAUGAAGUGCUAAAUAUAUUAAAACUGAGCUAUGACUUUCUUGAUGAUAAUGAGAAAAAAGUAUUCAUUGAAAUAGCUUGUUUCUAUAUGGGAAAGGACAGACACAAUGUCACACAAUUAUUAAGUGGCUGUGGACUUGCUGCAGAAACUGGGAUAAGUAAACUCAUUGAACGUAGCCUGUUAAAGGUUGACAAAAAUAACAAGCUUGAAAUGCAUGAUUUGGUGCAAGAGAUGGGAAGAGAACUGAAUCGUUUGAAGCCAAAAUCCAAAUGGAUCCAUACUGUGUUCCUGAGCUUCCGAGGUUUAGACACUCGCAGGUCUUUCACUUCUCAUCUCUAUGCCGCUUUACAACAUGCUGGUAUUGAGGUUUACAUGGAUGACAAACUGAAAAGGGGAGAAAAUAUCUCAUCCUCAUUGUUACAAGCAAUUGAAGGCUCUAGAGUUUCUAUCAUCAUUUUUUCAGUAAACUAUGCAAACUCAAUAUGGUGCCUACAAGAGCUGGAGAAAAUCAUGGAAUGUCAUAGAGCUAUUGGUCAAGAAGUUGUCCCUGUAUUCUACGGUGUGGAACCAUCGGAAGUACGCAAACAAAUUGGAUCUUUUGGACAAGCUCUGGAUGGACUUGUACAGAGAAUCUCAGCUACGAAAGAUAUGAUUGUCAGAUGGAAAAGAGCACUCACUGAAGCUGCGAACUUGUCUGGGUGGAAUCUAAAUAGUUACAGAACAGAAAUUGAGAUGAUUAGUGAUAUUGUUAAAACUGUUACCACAAGACUAGAUGACAACACAUACUUAUUUGUUGCUGAUCAUCCAGUGGGAGUGGAAUCUCGUGUGCAGGACAUGGUUCAAUUAUUAAGUGGUAAAUCAAAUGAGGUUCGCAUAGUAGGAAUCUUAGGAAUGGGAGGAAGCGGUAAAACAACCAUCGCCAAAGCCAUUUACAAUGAAAUUAAUCAGAACUUUGAUGGUAAAACUUUCCUUGCAAAUAUAAGGGAAGUUUGGGACCAAGAUGAUGGCAGAGUUUAUUUGCAAGAACAACUUCUUUCAGGCAUCUUGAGAACCAGAAGGAUGAAAUUACAUACCAUUGAAUUGGGAAAAACAAUAAUAAAAGAAAAACUUUGCCACAAGAGGGCACUUGUUGUACUUGAUGAUAUAAAUAAUUUGGACCAAGUAAAUGCUCUGUGUGGAAGUCGUGAAUGGUUUGGUCAAGGAAGUAGGUUAAUUAUCACAACUAGAGAUGAGCAUUUACUGAAAGUUCUGCAAGUGGAUCAUAUUUACAGAACCCAAGAAAUGGAUGAAAGCGAGUCUCUUGAGCUUUUUAGUUGGCAUGCAUUUAAGCAAGCUGCUCCAAACGCAGAUUUCGUUGGACUCUCAAGAAUGGUUGUUGCAUACUCUGGAAGACUACCACUAGCCCUUGAAGUUCUUGGCUCUUGUUUGUUUGAAAGGAAAAUUGCUGAGUGGGAAAGUACAUUAAUGAAACUUGAAGUAAUUCCCAAUGAUCAGAUACAGAAGAAAUUAAAAUUAAGCUAUGAUGGUUUAAGUGAUGAUAUGGAGAAAGACAUAUUCCUUGAUAUAUGUUGUUUCUUUAUAGGUAAGGACAGAAAUUAUGUUGCACAGAUUUUAGAUGGAUGUGGACUUCAUGCAGAAAUUGGGAUUACUGUCCUCAUAGAGCGAAGCCUUGUAAAAGUUGACAAGAAUAAUAAGCUUCAAAUGCAUGAUUUGCUCAAAGUAAUGGGAAGAGAGAUAAUACGUGAGAUGUCACCUACGAAGCCUGAGGAGCGCAGCCGGUUAUGGUUUCAUGAUGAUGUAGUUGAUAUGAUGACAAACAACACUGCAACAAUAGCAGUCAAGGGACUGGCUUGUAGCUUACCAAAAAAUAAUGAUGUUGUUUUCGAGACUAAAGCAUUUAAGAAGAUGAAGAGACUCAGAUUGCUUCAACUUGGUCAUGUAAACCUUACUGGAGAUUUUGAAUAUUUAUCAAAAGACUUGCGCUGGCUCUGUUGGCAUGGAUUUCCUUUAGGAUACUUGCCUGGCAGCUUUUGUCCGAAAAGUUCAGUUGCUAUUGACUUAAAGCACAGCAAUCUGCAAUUAGUCUGGAAGGAGCCUCAGUUGCUCGAUAGGCUGAAAUUUCUCAAUCUGAGUCAUUCUCAUCACUUGACGCAGACCCCUGAUUUUUCAAGAUUACCAAAUCUUGAAAAGCUAAUCCUCAAAGAUUGUCCACAAUUGUCAACUGUGCACUCAACAAUUGGAGAUCUCAAAUAUCUUAAGCUGGUAAAUUUGAAGGACUGUAAAUCCCUCAGUGACCUCCCAAGAAGUAUAUAUAAGUUGAAAUCUCUGAAAUCUCUUGUCCUUUCCGGCUGUUCAAAACUUUACAAGUUGGAAGAGGACAUCAUGCAGAUGGAGUCCUUGACAAGUCUAUUGGCAGAUGGCACUGCUAUCACACAAGUGCCCUUUUCUUUAAUGAGAUUGAAAAGUAUCAAACACGUGUCCAUUUGUGGCUAUGAAGGAUUAUCAAGUCAUAUAUUUCCUUCUCUAAUUUUUUCUGGAAUGUCUCCACGAAAUCUUAUGUAUAAAGUUUUUGGGAGCAUUUCAUCAUCGCUUCAAAGUCUUUCACUUGGUUCAGCUGCCAUGAGUCGUGCAGAAUUGGAAUUAAGAACACAACAGAUAACACAUAUAGAGACUCAUCCAUCAAUUGAUUGUCACAAUUCCAUUCACUCUGCAAGGUCUGAAAAUUUCACCAGUUCUCUCAUUAUUCAAGCUGGAGAGUGCUGCAAAGCCACUGAUACUCUUACAGGCAGUAUUUCGCAGGGAUGGACUAAUGAUGGAUCUGGUGACUGUGAUUGUUCUUUUCCUAGUGACACUAAAUGCCUAACCUUCAAAGGUGAAAGUUCCUCAGUAUGGUUUAAAGUGCCUAUUACUGAUUGCACAUUGAAAGGGGUGACUCUACACAUUAUUUAUUCAUCUUCCCUUGACAACCUGGCUUCUGAAUGUGAUCUUAUUAGUGUCUCUAUGAUAAAUUACACAAACGAUACCAUUCAUCUCUACAAACGAGACAAAACAACUUCCGUCGAUGAUGAAGAGUGGCAAGGAUUGAUGUCAAGUCUUGGACCUGGUGAUGAAGUGGAGGUUGUUAUAGUUUUUGGACAUCGAUUUGUCGUGAAGAAGACAAUAGUCCAUCUAAUAUACGGUGAAUCAGCCAACUAGAUGGAGUUUUCAUCAAAGCCAGACAAGGGUGAAAUCUGAGAGAUGCUGUGCUUUAGAUGACCAUGAAAUCUUUUGCCAAAACAGUUCUGACACACUCACAUUGGUGUUUUAGAUUACCAUGAAAUCUACCAGAUUUAGUUAAUUUAGAGCGCAAAGGUAUGCAAUCCUUGUGGUUCGAGCUUUAUACUACUUCGGGCAAUUUGUACACUUGUAGAUUGACUAUUACGAAGUGUUUGGCGGUGAUGCAUACCAAUUGAUCCCAUGAGAAGAUUAGUAUUUUCGUAGGCCUAAAACUUUGUUCCUCUUAGUGAACUCAUGAACCGAGAGAAGAUUUUUAUUAGCCGAAGAAACAUAUAACAUGCUAGAUAAUAUAAGAGGAUGUGAAAGGUGAUCAAUAUAAGUACUCCCAAUAUGGUGAUUGGCAAACCUGAGGCAAGAAACGUCGAGAGUAUUAGUUGGUUCUGACUAAACCAGUGGAUAUAUUCACUUGUUGGGAUAUCAUUGUUGCCUAUUGAGGGCAAACAAUUGUUCCAUUCGAAUAUUUGAGAAGAUCAUAACCAUUAAUGAGAGAAACAAACAAGGUUACGCCAUCACAGGUAAUU